GUUGAACGCUGGCGGCAUGCUUUACACAUGCAAGUCGAACGGUAACAGGCCGCAAGGUGCUGACGAGUGGCGAACGGGUGAGUAAUGCAUCGGAACGUGCCCAGUCGUGGGGGAUAACGCAGCGAAAGCUGUGCUAAUACCGCAUACGAUCUAUGGAUGAAAGCGGGGGACCGUAAGGCCUCGCGCGAUUGGAGCGGCCGAUGUCAGAUUAGGUAGUUGGUGGGGUAAAGGCCUACCAAGCCGACGAUCUGUAGCUGGUCUGAGAGGACGACCAGCCACACUGGGACUGAGACACGGCCCAGACUCCUACGGGAGGCAGCAGUGGGGAAUUUUGGACAAUGGGCGCAAGCCUGAUCCAGCAAUGCCGCGUGCAGGAAGAAGGCCUUCGGGUUGUAAACUGCUUUUGUACGGAACGAAACGGCCUGGGUUAAUACCCUGGGCUAAUGACGGUACCGUAAGAAUAAGCACCGGCUAACUACGUGCCAGCAGCCGCCGCCGUAA
rnacentral:rRNA from 1 species